GUGAUUGAUUAUGCUUUGGAUGAUGGGACUAUGUUCCGAACAGAGUUUGCUCAUGCCAUGGCUAAGUUGUCAGAUUUUGGUGUUCUUACUGGAUCCCAAGGAGAGGUUCGGCGUAGCUGCUCCCAUCUGAAUUCUAACUAGUAAGAGCUACUGCAUUCAUGUACAAUAUGGUAUAGACUAGUUAUACUUCAAAGGAAUUUGACUUGUUGGCUUAACAAAUAGUACUAAAUUUCUUCUGACCAUCACCAUGAAAAAACAAGUGCUAAAUUGCCAAAGCAUUUACGGUCUUAUCCCAUGUCAACAUCUUCUUUUACUGCUUCGUAUUUCAAAUACACNAAUUGAAGAAAAAGUAUAAUUGAAGGAAAAGUAUGAAACUUUGAUUUGGUUAGAAUGAUACAGAAUGUUAAUAAAUAUGUUGGAUCCAUUCUUUAAUAACUUGUUAUGAUAGCCCUUAUUUCAACAAUAAUUAGACCUGGAGUUGAUGUCAUGUCAGUAUUUGUCGUAAAUUCAUGUUGCUGAGUAAUCAUCAUAGACGAAAUAUUUUGUAAAAUAUCAUACUAUAAACAUCAUAAUCAAGAUUUGCGUUAUUGUAUCGGAUGCAUCACCUAAUGCUAUGUAAUUUCUACUAUACCGAAAACAAUUAUUCAACAAAGAACUUUAAAACAUACCUAUAACUUGUUAACAAUGAUGGAUCAAUAUACAAUAAUCAUAGAUUGAAAUCAGAUCUGAAUGGGGUGGCAGAUUCAUAUAUAGAUAAUCAUCUAUCUAGAAUUUGCCACGCCAAUCAGAUAUAGCUUCAAUGUAUGAAAGUUUCUUCAUCUUUCUCCAAGAUUUAAUUGUUCAAGGGCUAGGCUAUAUGGCUAUUUAUAACAAAGGCAGCGCCUACUUUUUCUUUUCUUUUUCGGAAACUAAUAAGUUGUGCGUAACUCUUACGUUGAAAUUUCUAACUAUUUUCCUCUUUCUCUAGGGUUAGUUUUCCUUCCAAAAAUGUCUAUUUAGCAGCGGCACAGCCUAGCCC
rnacentral:lncRNA from 1 species